rnacentral:snRNA from 1 species
AGGUUUGCACAGUGGCAGUAUCGUAUUCAAUGAGGUUUAUCCAAGGCACGGUUAUUGCCAA